GUCCACACCGUAAACGAUGAUUACUAGAUUUUGGCCUUAUGGUCAGAGUCCAAGCGAAAGUGUUUAGUAAUCCACCUGGGGAGUACGUCCGCAAGGAUGAAACUCAAAGGAAUUGACUGGGGCCCGCACAAGCGGUGGAGCAUGUGGUUUAAUUCGAUGAUACGCGAGGAACCUUACCUGGGCUUGAAAGUUAGUGACCGAUCCUGAAAGGGAUUCUCCCGCAAGGGCACGAAACUAGGUGCUGCAUGGCUGUCGU
rnacentral:rRNA from 1 species